GUGGGGAAUAUUGGACAAUGGGCGAAAGCCUGAUCCAGCCAUGCCGCGUGUGUGAAGAAGGUCUUCGGAUUGUAAAGCACUUUAAGUUGGGAGGAAGGGCAGUAAGUUAAUACCUUGCUGUUUUGACGUUACCGACAGAAUAAGCACCGGCUAACUUCGUGCCAGCAGCCGCGGUAAUACGAAGGGUGCAAGCGUUAAUCGGAAUUACUGGGCGUAAAGCGCGCGUAGGUGGUAUUGUAAGUUGGAGGUGAAAUCCCCGGGCUCAACCUGGGAACUGCCUCCAAAACUGCAUGACUAGAGUACGGUAGAGGGUAGUGGAAUUUCCUGUGUAGCGGUGAAAUGCGUAGAUAUAGGAAGGAACACCAGUGGCGAAGGCGACUACCUGGACUGAUACUGACACUGAGGUGCGAAAGCGUGGGGAGCAAACAGGAUUAGAUACCCUAGUAGUCC
rnacentral:rRNA from 1 species